UACGGGGGGAGCAAGCGUUGUUCGGAAUUACUGGGCGUAAAGGGCUCGUAGGCGGCCAACUAAGUCAGACGUGAAAUCCCUCGGCUUAACCGGGGAACUGCGUCUGAUACUGGAUGGCUUGAAUCCGGGAGAGGGAUGCGGAAUUCCAGGUGUAGCGGUGAAAUGCGUAGAUAUUCGGAAGAACACCAGUGGCGAAGGCGACUUACUGGACACAUAUUGACGCUGAGGUGCGAAAGCGUGGGGAGCAAACAGG
rnacentral:rRNA from 1 species